rnacentral:lncRNA from 1 species
GGAAAAAUAACAAAUUUUAACAAAUAACAAUUGUGUGACAAAAUUGAAAUAAGCACAUAUUAACAUAUAACACUAUUUAAUUAAAAAGAAUUAUGGUCAUCAAUUCCUUUGUUUAUUCAGAAAAACUGUGUCCUGUGAGACAUUGAGAAGAACAAUCGAUUCAUCUGUUGUAGGUAAAACUACCGAUUCCUCUUUGAUAGUUCGGACCAUCGAUUCCGUUGUUACAAGAAAAAUAAUCGAUUCAUCUGUUGUAGGUAAAAUUAUCGAUUCCGCUUUAAAAGAUUGAACAAUCGAUUCCGUUGUUAUCAGAAGAACAAUCGAUUCAUCUGGUGCAGGUAAAACUUUUGAUUCCUCUGUUGCAGGUAAAACUAUCGAUUCAUCUCUGAAAGUUAGGACACUCGAUUCCGAUGUUAUAAGAAGAACAGUCGAUUCAUUUGUUGCAGGUAAAACUAUCGAUUCCUCUUUGAUAGUAAGAACAAUCGAUUCCGUUGUUAUAAGAAGAACAAUGAAUUGUGCUGUUGUAGGUAACACUAUCUAUUCCUCUUUGAUAGUAGAAAAAUCUAUUCGUCUGUUGUAGGUAGGACAAUCGAUUAUGCUGUUGUAUGUAGGAUAAUCCAUUCGGCUGUUGUAGGUAUGACAUUCGAUUUGUCUGAAGAAAACAGGAUAAUCGAUUCUGAUCUUGUAUGUACGACUAUCGAUUCUACUCUUUUAGGUAGGGCAGCCGAUUCUGCUGUUGUAGGAAGGACAAUCGAUUCUGCUGUUGAAGGUAGGACAAUCUAUUCUGCUGCUGUAAGUAGGACAAUCUAUUCCACUGUUAUAGGCAUGCAAAUCGAUUCCACUAUUGUAGGUAGGAAAAUCGAUUCUUCUUGUAGGUAGGAUAAUUGAUUCUGCUGCUGUAGGUAGGACAAUCGAUUCUGUUCUUGUAGAUAGGACGAUCUAUUCCGAUGUUGUAGUAAUGCAAUCGAUUCGUUUAUUGUAUGUUUAACAAUCGAUUCCUCUGUAGUAGGUCGGAAAUAUGUAAUAAAUGUUACUUAAAAAAUAGACUGAACUAACAUGGUUAAGCAUGACAGAUAAAAGAAAUUUACAGCUGAAAUUCAAUAACUCAAAAAGUGUUUUGAGGUCAAGUUGAUGCGUGAUUGGCGAUUUGUCUAUUUUUACAAAAAUGAAGGUGUAACAUGCAUAAAAUAAUUAAAACAUACGGUGGACAUCGUUGCAUUUCAAGUGAGCUGUGUUGAUAUAGAUUAUAUAAACUGAUUUAAGGCAACAUCCAAUCUAAUUAAAAACCGAUCUCUCAUCGCUCCCGUUUUCUGAAAUGUCGCGUGGGAGCUUGUUUAUAUCUAUAGUCCUCUAUUUCUACAGUCCCUGAUUUAUAUAGCCUUUUCUUUAACGCACUAUUAAUUCCAUUUCCACUAAUUCUACAAUCACUGAUUUCUCUAUUCUUUUAUAAAUCAAAAGAAUGUAUGUUAACUUCCCGAAGCUUUAUAAAUCCUUGCAAGAAAAAAAUAUUACAUUGAUUUUUUCUAACACAGGAUCAGAAAAUUUGACAUUGAUUUACC